AGGUGAAAGGACACCUCAACCUAAAAAUUCAUUUGUUAUAGAUUUCAACCCUGAUAAAUUGGAAUUAAGCAGCUCAGUCAGCAUCUUUCUUCAUCAGUGCCGCUUGUCCCUUCUGUGUGUCGUUGAUAACUUCCUUUAACAGUCUUUCAAGUGAAGUUCUUGGCUUCUGUGAUAGAUGCAGAAGGCAAACAAGGGGGAGGGCCCCAGAGAAUCUCCCACCACCCUACACACUGCAAGAAUGGGUUGGAGCCACGGGAAGUUUGAGCCAUGUGCAGCAGGGAGGAGCCUCGCCUCUUCAGUUCCUGUGCUGUGGCCUGUUAUUCCAUCUGUGAGAUGGGAGCGCUGGCAGGAACCCCUCUCAUUUUGCUAAGAGUUUUCUGUUGUUGUUGUUUUGUUUUUUCCUUUUCGUCCAAUAAAUUCCGUUCCCGUCACCUUUCAAUGUGUCUGCAUGCCUAACUUUUCCUGGUUGUGACACAAGAACCCAGAUUUAGCUGAACUAAGGAACAGAAAUUCUGCAACAAUAAUCUCCCUUUUAGAAUAUAUGUUAACAGAAAGGGUUAUGGAGUCAUGUCAUGUCAAGAAACACAUUCUUUUAAUUUUAUUGUUAGGGCAGAAUUAGUCUAGUGU